CAUACGACCGUACCGCAAACCGACACUGGUGCGCGAGAUGAGUAUUCUAAGGCGCUUGAGAGAACUCAGGAGAAGGAACUCGGCAAAUUGACACCGUAACUUCGGAAGAAGGUGUGCCCUAUUAGUGUGUAGUGAACAACGAAGCAUGAAUGGGUUGCAAAAAAUCGGUGGCUGCGACUGUUUAUUAAAAACACAGCACUCUGCAAACACGAAAGUGGACGUAUAGGGUGUGACGCCUGCCCGGUGCUGGAAGAUUAAAUGAUGGGGUGCAAGCUCUUGAUUGAAGUCCCAGUAAACGGCGGCCGUAACUAUAACGGUCCUAAGGUAGCGAAAUUCCUUGUCGGGUAAGUUCCGACCUGCACGAAUGGCGUAACGAUGGCCACACUGUCUCCUCCUGAGACUCAGCGAAGUUGAAAUGUUUGUGAUGAUGCAAUCUCCCCGCGGAAAGACGGAAAGACCCCAUGAACCUUUACUGUAGCUUUGUAUUGGACUUUGAACAGAUCUGUGUAGGAUAGGUGGGAGGCUUUGAAGCAGGGUCGCUAGAUCUUGUGGAGCCAACGUUGAAAUACCACCCUGGUGUGUUUGAGGUUCUAACCUAGGUCCAUUAUCUGGAUCGGGGACAGUGCAUGGUAGGCAGUUUGACUGGGGCGGUCUCCUCCCAAAGCGUAACGGAGGAGUUCGAAGGUACGCUAGUUACGGUCGGACAUCGUGACGAUAGUGCAAUGGCAUAAGCGUGCUUAACUGCGAGACUGACAAGUCGAGCAGAUGCGAAAGCAGGACAUAGUGAUCCGGUGGUUCUGUAUGGAAGGGCCAUCGCUCAACGGAUAAAAGGUACUCUGGGGAUAACAGGCUGAUACCGCCCAAGAGUUCAUAUCGACGGCGGUGUUUGGCACCUCGAUGUCGGCUCAUCUCAUCCUGGGGCUGUAGCCGGUCCCAAGGGUAUGGCUGUUCGCCAUUUAAAGAGGUACGUGAGCUGGGUUUAAAACGUCGUGAGACAGUUUGGUCCCUAUCUUCCGUGGGCGCUGCAGAUUUGAGGAAGCCUGCUCCUAGUACGAGAGGACCGGAGUGGACACACCUCUGGUGUAUCGGUUGUCACGCCAGUGGCAUUGCCGAGUAGCUAAGUGUGGAAGAGAUAACCGCUGAAAGCAUCUAAGCGGGAAACUCGUUUCAAGAUGAGAUCUGCCGGGGCCUUGAGCCCCCUAAAGAGUCGUUCAAGACCAGGACGUUGAUAGGUCAGGUGUGGAAGCGG
rnacentral:rRNA from 1 species